AUACUUACCUGGUGCCGGGGCCUUGUUGAUCACCGAGGAUGAUCCCCAGGGCGAGGCGCGGGCACUGCACUGCGCUCGCGUUGACCCCUGCCACUACCCCAAAACUAGGGCAGAUGGGGCAUGCAAAUAGC
rnacentral:snRNA from 1 species